rnacentral:rRNA from 1 species
GACGAACGCUGGCGGCGCGCCUAACACAUGCAAGUCGAACGAGCGAGAGAGAGCUUGCUUUCUCGAGCGAGUGGCGAACGGGUGAGUAACGCGUGAGGAACCUGCCUCAAAGAGGGGGACAACAGUUGGAAACGACUGCUAAUACCGCAUAAGCCCACGGCUCGGCAUCGAGCAGAGGGAAAAGGAGCAAUCCGCUUUGAGAUGGCCUCGCGUCCGAUUAGCUAGUUGGUGAGGUAAUGGCCCACCAAGGCGACGAUCGGUAGCCGGACUGAGAGGUUGAACGGCCACAUUGGGACUGAGACACGGCCCAGACUCCUACGGGAGGCAGCAGUGGGGAAUAUUGCACAAUGGGGGAAACCCUGAUGCAGCGACGCCGCGUGGAGGAAGAAGGUCUUCGGAUUGUAAACUCCUGUUGUUGGGGAAGAUAAUGACGGUACCCAACAAGGAAGUGACGGCUAACUACGUGCCAGCAGCCGCGGUAAAACGUAGGUCACAAGCGUUGUCCGGAAUUACUGGGUGUAAAGGGAGCGCAGGCGGGAAGACAAGUUGGAAGUGAAAUCUAUGGGCUCAACCCAUAAACUGCUUUCAAAACUGUUUUUCUUGAGUAGUGCAGAGGUAGGCGGAAUUCCCGGUGUAGCGGUGGAAUGCGUAGAUAUCGGGAGGAACACCAGUGGCGAAGGCGGCCUACUGGGCACCAACUGACGCUGAGGCUCGAAAGUGUGGGUAGCAAACAGGAUUAGAUACCCUGGUAGUCCACACCGUAAACGAUGAUUACUAGGUGUUGGAGGAUUGACCCCUUCAGUGCCGCAGUUAACACAAUAAGUAAUCCACCUGGGGAGUACGACCGCAAGGUUGAAACUCAAAGGAAUUGACGGGGGCCCGCACAAGCAGUGGAGUAUGUGGUUUAAUUCGACGCAACGCGAAGAACCUUACCAAGUCUUGACAUCCCUUGACGAUGCUGGAAACAGUAUUUCUCUUCGGAGCAAGGAGACAGGUGGUGCAUGGUUGUCGUCAGCUCGUGUCGUGAGAUGUUGGGUUAAGUCCCGCAACGAGCGCAACCCUUAUGGUCAGUUACUACGCAAGAGGACUCUGGCCAGACUGCCGUUGACAAAACGGAGGAAGGUGGGGAUGACGUCAAAUCAUCAUGCCCUUUAUGACUUGGGCUACACACGUACUACAAUGGCGUUAAACAAAGAGAAGCAAGACCGCGAGGUGGAGCAAAACUCAGAAACAACGUCCCAGUUCGGACUGCAGGCUGCAACUCGCCUGCACGAAGUCGGAAUUGCUAGUAAUCGUGGAUCAGCAUGCCACGGUGAAUACGUUCCCGGGCCUU